GACGAACGCUGGCGGCGUGCCUAAUACAUGCAAGUCGAGCGAAUCGAUGGGAGCUUGCUCCCUGAGAUUAGCGGCGGACGGGUGAGUAACACGUGGGUAACCUGCCUGUAAGACUGGGAUAACUUCGGGAAACCGGAGCUAGUACCGGAUACUUUCUUUUCUCGCAUGAGGGAAGAUGGAAAGAUGGUUCUGCUAUCACUUACAGAUGGACCCGCGGCGCAUUAGCUAGUUGGUGAGGUAACGGCUCACCAAGGCAACGAUGCGUAGCCGACCUGAGAGGGUGAUCGGCCACACUGGGACUGAGACACGGCCCAGACUCCUACGGGAGGCAGCAGUAGGGAAUCUUCCGCAAUGGACGAAAGUCUGACGGAGCAACGCCGCGUGAGCGAAGAAGGCCUUCGGGUCGUAAAGCUCUGUUGUUAGGGAAGAACAAGUACGAGAGUAACUGCUCGUACCUUGACGGUACCUAACCAGAAAGCCACGGCUAACUACGUGCCAGCAGCCGCCGUAAUAC
rnacentral:rRNA from 1 species